CGGUAAACUAAAUUAAACUUAAAUUUAAACUUAAUGAAAAUUCAAUAACAAUGAAAAAGAAAGCGAUUGAAAUAAACUUGAAUUUAAAUGACAUGGUAAUGUAAAUUGCAAGAAUUUAAACUUACACUAAGGAAAGGAAGAACUUGCUAUACUAGGUGCUUGAAAAGUAAAAUUCUAAGUCUAAGAAAAGAAAAGUGCGAGACGAAAAAUAGGUUUGUGUGUCUAAUGAUGUGUCUUCUGCCUUUGUUUGGUGAAGUUUAUAUAGGCGUCCAUUGGCCAUGGGCUGGCCAUUGAAUGGCUAAAUGUCAACUCUUUCAAAAUUCUUUCCUUUCGAGGCACCCUAAAUCCGUGGGAUUUCUUUGAUGGAGAUAUUUUGAUUGCUUGAUUAUCUCUUGCUUUGGAAUAUUCUAAAAUUUCAUCAACCUUCUUGAUUUCUUUCCUUGUGAGGCCUCUGCCACCUGCAUACACUCUUCCAGCACGAAUCCAUGGCUUCGGCUUUGCCCUCUAGGAUCAUUGGAAUUAUAUGGGAUUGACCCUCAUGACCUUUGAGAUCUUGAGUUCUAAAUGCCCAAAUUACUUUCAAACCUCCAACCUUAUUAAAUGGCCACUCACUUUCAUUAUUAUAUAUACAUAUAUAUAUAUAUAUAAACUAAAGAGGACUCCAACUAAAAGCCCUCCAGCCAUACUUUUCCAGCCGCAUAUCUUUUGCCCAAAUCUUUUCAAACCAGCUGCAAUGUUACAGCCCCUCAGAGCUACAAACCGGUUGCAUUGAGUGCAGCCCGGAUUUCUUCAGCCCAGCACUAGCUCUUGGUUUUGACCGCUCCAUCUCCAACGACCCCGGCCUCUGGAAGCCCAAUUGCAACUCCUCUCGAUUCCAACCGUAGCUCCUUUUGAUUCCAAUCACUCCAAGCUAGCAACCACUCUAGCUUCCAGCCACUGCAAACCCGGCCACCAAGCUCCAACACCCUAGGUUACUUAUCUCAAUUUCGACCGUAACACCUAGAGACCCAACUGCCAAACUUCACGCCCGGCUACUCUUCUCGAAAACUUCAAGACCCGGCCACCAAACUUCUCCAAGCCCGGCAGCCUUCAACUCGGUCGCCAAACUUCCCCAAGCCCGGCCGCCAUUUCUCCAAAACUCUAAGACCCAGCCGCCAAACUUUUUCAAGGAGAGAUCCGAGCACUUUCACAUUUUUGUGGGUAUAUCUGUUUUGCCCAAUCUUUGCUAGAGGAGUGCUCGGUUUUUGAAGAGAGAGGGAAGCCUGGAUCUUUGUGCUUUCAAAGGGUGCUCGGGUUAGGUGAUUUUUCACCAACCCCAAACAGUUUGCUAGGGUGGCUUUUGAAGUUUGUUUAGGUUAAUUAAGUGUUGGGCUAGUUUAGCCCACAUGACUGUGUUUUUACUUAUAUUUUUAGUUUUGGCUAGGCAUGUCUUUACUUCUCUGAUUUUCCUUAUUUUGUUUUGUGUAGGGCAAUGUAUAAAAUAUCGAGGGUUUUGGAAAUAUCGGUGGUCCAAAAACACGGAUAUAUCGAUAGAAAUAUCGAGAAAAUAUCCAUAUCGGUAAAAAUUGAAUAAAAACUAGGGUUGGC
rnacentral:lncRNA from 1 species